CACGAACUGCGCAAACGUUAUUCGGAAUCACUGGGCUUAAAGAGUCCGUAGGCGGCUCGGCAGGUGAGGAGUGAAAUCCCACGGCUCAACCGUGGAAUUGCGCUUCAAACCGCCGGGCUCGAGGGAGAUAGAGGAGAGCGGAACUGAUGGUGGAGCGGUGAAAUGCGUUGAUAUCAUCAGGAACACCGGUGGCGAAAGCGGCUCUCUGGGUCUCUUCUGACGCUGAGGGACGAAAGCUAGGGGAGCAAACGGG
rnacentral:rRNA from 1 species